AGCGAGGCUCCCUGUGGCAUGAUGUGUCCUUUAGGUGGUGCCAUUGUGGUUUUUUUAAGGUGAGGAAGGACGCCGGGGAGGAAAGGAUGCGGCUCACAAUGCAUCCUCCUACCCGGAAUGACUCGGAAACAUCUGAGAGUGCAGAGCCAUCCCCACGCACAGGAUGUAAUGCUGCUAGAGUAAAUAUAGAACGGCUGCUGUCAACAAUGAGGAGAGCAAGAGCUGAAGGAAUGCUUCCAGGUCAAGUCCUGGGUCAGGUCAUAGGUGUUACCACUGGGGAGGAGGAAGGAAAGUAUCCUAAUCACUCCAAUCCAAAAAGGAAGUAAACUUCGGAACAAGACAGACAUUCAUGCCAGUUGCACAUGGAUAUUCUUCUGUCAGCAGGAUGCAGUUUGCUGCCUACCUGCUUUAAGGCCGGGCUGUUAUAUUCUCCAUCACCUAAACUCUGCAGUGUUUUUCAGUCUUCCAUCUCCAAAGUGCCCCAUGAACUGGAAAAUGGAAAAUGAGUAAAAUCUGGAAUUGGUACUAAGAUAGCACGUGCAAUUGCUCCGCACAAUGAGAGUCAAGGCUUCUGUUUUUGCAUGUAAAUCUUGUACUCUUCAUGGUUAAUAAGAGAAAUUCUAUGAUGAUAGUGUUCACAAAAGCUACAAGAGCACAGACACUGUGUAACAGCCCAAAGAAAAAUGCUUAGUGUGACGCUGUAAUUUUCCCCACCUGUUGCAAAAACUGUCAAAAGGAAACACAUCUCUUAUUUCACUCUGAAUAAGAUGUGGUAUGUUUGUGGUUUGGGAAAUGAUAGCUUAAUUCUCUGUCAGUUGAAACAGCUGGCUGGCCGUGAACCAGAGCUGUGGCUGAGAUGUCCAGAUACCUGCCUUGUCUUUCAGGCUCAGGCAGAGAAGGCUUUGCUCUCUGCACUUGGAUAUUUAGCAUCUGACAGGCCAGGGCAUUUGUUUGAACCCAUUGUAACUUUGAAAUGGCAAAUGUGAAGAAAGGAUGUGGCUGAUGAGAAUUCAGAGAUAAAGAAUAGAGGAAUGAACGGGUUGAUGUUUUCUAAGGAACACUUACAUGUUAAUUCAUCUCCCAUUUCUUCUCACUGCUGGGAGCCCUCUGUCAACCACAUAAAAUUCUUUCACAUCAUCCCAUUUGCCUUCCCUACCCAACUCUUUCAUCUCUUCAUUCUCCUUUACCUACUUUCUAUCCGAGAUCUGCUCCUGUGAAAAUAAUCCAAAUUUUGCAGACAUGAGUGACGUUGGGUUAAACUGCUGGGGCAGCUUGUCUCAGGAAAAAACAACCUACUGAUGGUGGUGGGAAGCAUGUGCAGGCCAAAAUCCUACCUGGCAGAGGCUGAUGGUGGUGGAGAAAGUGCAUUCCUGUUUUCCAAGGCUAAAAUGAAGCCCUCUUGGGGAUUAAUCAUGCUACUUGAUGGAAUUUGACAAAGUUGCUUGUUUUGUACAUUUGGAAAACCAAAAUUGUAUGGCCUUGUGAAAGCAAAAGUGGAAGGUGAAUGAUUGGGCAAGAAAGGCUAUAUUCUGAUUUAGUUUAAACCUUCUACAUACAGGUUUCCAAUUUUCCUAGUUUUCCCAAGCUGUUAAAAUAUUAGGGGGAAAAAAUUAAGUUAGGAAAAGAAGGAAGUGUCUGAAGCCUUUGUUUUGCUCAGGACCUAACCAUUCUUGAAAGAACUAUUCCUACAUGAAAAAAAUCAACAAGCAUUUAGGCCCCAUUCCAAUAAGACUUUUUUUUUUUUGUGCUAUCUUCCCAAAACAAGAAAAAAAAAGGAAAAUAAGAACAACUAGGUGCAGAACUACUCCCAUAUGAUAAUAAACUGACUCAAAAAAGUUGAGAACAAGCUGGAUCAACUCUCUAACAGAUGCAAGUCUUUACUGUUUUAAGAGACAAUAGUAAAUCAUUUGACAUUAUUAAAGAUACCAACCACAAAAAGGAUCUGUAAAAAUGCAUGUUUCCAACUUUUCAUCAUCUGGGAUUCUGUAGUUGUUAAUGGUCUGUGAGUCACUGCUGAUAUUUAAAUGCUAUAUAUCCAUUUGGAUAGGUGCAUAGCAGUAACCUCCAGGAAUGAAAUAAUUGCCACCCAUGUGAAAAAAAUGGUGGUUUCCUGUGCUGACAUACGUAAUAGAAACAUCUUUUUUACUUGAAGCAGAUCUUUUAGGCUGUAAUCAUAGAUACAAAGCACAGUAGAAGUAUCAGAUCUGCCUCACCACUGCAUUAGCCUGGCUCUAUUCAAGUGCAACUCAGCUGAAAAAAAAUGCAGUUACACCAACAUAAAAUGGAAUAUUUUGCCCACCAAGACAGCUCUGCAUUGCCUCGUGCCCUGCUUAGUCAUUUGCAGCACACCAGGGAGUUGCACAGAGCUUUGUGUCUGGUUUUGAUUGUGGGAUUUCAGUAGAUGUUUGUGGUACUUUAAAAGGUUCCUCAGUGUGGUCAGCAGCAGAGAAUUCAUCUCACCAUCUGUGUUGGAUGCUGGAGCUGCUGGAGGGUAAUGUGUUGUCUAAAAGUGGUAUUUAUUAAUGGAGAUGGACUAGGAUUUCUCAGAGAAGUCCAGGUACUUUCCAACAUGUCUUUCCUGGUCAGCAUCUGGAAUUCAGAAUUGAGACAGGUCCAAAGGCAGCUGUGGAAAAAAACAUUUUUCCACAAGGCAUUAGAAAACAUGAUGAUAUACUUUCUUGUUUUGUGACUUUUGGAAGCAGAAGUUAACAGGCAAGAGCCAUAAUUUUAUAUAAUAAUUCUAGUUCAAGUUCUGAUGAGUAACAUUUUACAUACUUUUGACAAGCAGAGGAGGAGUAGGUUCCCACAAAACUUUGUGUCUCCCAUGUCUGUCUUUUCUUUACAUGUGGGUGCCAUCUGUAUUUUUUCCCAAGCAAAUGUGCAGAAUGGCAGUUCAGUGGCUUCCUACAAAUGUCCAAAGUUCUCAAGAAAAUUCUUGAACCUCAAAAAAAAAAAAAAAAAAAAAAAAAAAAAAGGAAAAAAAGAAUGGACAGCUGAAAAACAAAUUAAACAAAUUAGAUGUCUAGAAAGCCAUAAGUUGAUUCAACAUUUCCUAUUUAUGCACACAAAAAUGACAGCUUAAUACAUUUUUUCCCUAAAGAGGCAAGGGUUUAGUAUGCAGUGUCCCCCUAACCACUCAGCACUCUCUAAGCAUAAACUCAGCAAAGCUUAUAUAAACUAACUACAGAACCUCACAGCUGCUGCAAAAUUCUGUGGGACAAACUCAUUUGGUUUAAGUGGGACCAAAACCAUGAAGGUCAAAACAGGGGCUCAGUCUGACCCUUCCUUUUCCAGAUAAUGUAUGUAGCCUUUAUCUUUGACUGAUGCACUCGCAGUCUUCAGAAUGGAAGUGCACUACAUCCCUACCAAGUUAAGUAGUUUAUAAACAGCGAAACAUACCAUUUUAUCACUGAAGUGAAAAUGUAUGAGGGAAUAACUGUUUUGAGUUACUCCUAAGAUAUAAGAUUCCUGACUGAUUCUUUUAGUCUGAACUGGAGUUGUCAGCAGGUUGUCUUAUUGUUGGUUUUGGUAUUUAACUUUAGAGGCUCCAUCUAAAAUGCAGUGCCUCUGUGUGUGCAUAAACUAGACACAUAAAUAUCAAUCAUCUCCCAGAUGGUGAUAAUAUGCCCCAUGGGAAUGGAGCGUAGACUUGCUCUGAUACUUCUGCCUGUGUUCUUUGCAUUUCUGAGCUCUCCAAAAUCCAGCACCCUUUGCUCAUCCCAAAUGUGCGCUCAGUUACAGUUUUGCUGGUGCAUUUCCUGAAAAUAGUCCCUUGUUUGUAUCUGAGUGUCUUCUUCCUCAGAGCCAGGUCUUUCCAGAUUAUGGAGCUUUCUGGUUUAUUUGAUUCUAUUUUUAGGCAGAUUUUAUGCAUCUAAUUUUGAGUCUGUAAUCCAGGACUUUGAAUUAGGUGUCCCUGCUCCUUGUAAAACAAAUGAGGAAAGUGAGCUGCCUCAGCCUGGGCCUCAUGGUGGUGAGAUCCCUGAGCAGAGAGACUCCUUUUUUGGUCAGCAGGAAAUGACUUCAACUCUGCAGCUCCUUCGCCUGUGUUUAAGUGCUUGACUGGGAGCUGCGGCAAGGUAUUUCCCUAAAACCUUUCUGGGAAUAAGGUACUUAUGUAAUUUUCUUGGAAACUACCAUGGAGAUCAUUCUUUUCUUUUAAAGUAUAGCCAAGAAAGUACUGCCAAACCCUUUCACGCUGUGUUCACAACCCCGGAAUAUGAACAGGCCAUCCUGCUCUCUUCGCUGGAUUUCAGGCCCAUAUGACCAAAGUGCCCCAAGGAUCCCCUAACCACUAAACCACACUUGGAGCAAGGAGCAGUUUUUAUCCCUUCUGUUGAAGCCAUUCUGCUUUGCAGAAAAGCCUGAUGAAUUUUCCAGACUAGAUAAGCCAAGAGAAGGCAUACCAAUGGUGAAAGUGAGUCCUGCAUUAUCAGUGGUCAACGCCAACAGAGGUUUCUGCUCCUGUGCUUCUGCACUGGUGACUGUUCCUACAGCUCAUAAUGAAUAGUUGUUGGAUGUGAAUUCCCUGAAUUAUAGGCCACUUUUCUCUUAGGCAGUGUCCCAAUCCUGGACAGGAGACUCUGUGUCCAUAUUUUGGCCUCAUGAAAUAAUCUUAAUAAAAAGCUCUAGAGUUUUGAUGCAUAAAACUUAGUAGGUGGCCCCCAUGGCAAGAAAGGCCAUGCAAAAGCUCAUCUUUUACCUGCUUUUGGGAAAUUCUGCAUUUGUGCUUAAUAAGUUUGAGCCCUGAGGUCUGUUUGUAACAUGUAAGAGGUAAUUCUUCCAGUUAUUCUCCCCUUUCUAAUGAAACUCCAAUGUGUCCAUAAAAGGAUUAUUUACCAUUAUAGUUCAUAAUUAUGAAGCGAAGAUCAAAUACAAAAGGUGUGAGACAAGUGAGCAUGGAGAAACUGUGAAAAUUUUUCCUUCAUUGCUAUUUUUUGAGAAUACAAGGCUGGGAGCAAUAUGUGCCUCAGUUUGAUUAUUGUUUGUGUAUGACAAUUGACUGCAUAGGCAGGAACACACCUGGAAAAGUCACUGGUGCAUCCAUUGCAUGGAUUUUUCCUUAACUUGAAGAUUAAUGUCUAAGAUGCUUUUUUCCAUAAGGAGGAAGUUAGCAAUUAUUUUUCUCUGUUUUCAAUAAAACACAAGCUUUUGGAUUAUACAAAAGGAAAUAUGUUUUCCACAGUUUUUAUGAGAGAUUAUGAAGUGUAUUUCCCAUUAUCUAGAGCAUUCAGCCAUCCUGUAUUUAUGCAGGGAGAUGAAAAGGGAAGAUUAAUCAGUGAAUGUAAAGAUACUCAGUCAACAAACCUUGAGUUUUGUAUCUGUGUUAGUAGCUCUGCUACUAGCUACCAGAUUUCUUUUUCUAUUGUAUUUUCUCAUUUAGAGGAAACAAAAUUGUGUGUUAGCUAAUGAUUAUUUUAAGAGAAAACCAUAGCUAGUUGAUUAUUAAUAUGAAAGAAGCAGCACUGCCUUUUAAUUUUCAUUGAUAGGUCCAUCCUUCAAUACAUAUAAAUGAUACAGCUCAAGAGUGAAGAUUUCUAAUUUCUAUCAGCUGAGGACCUGGCUUAUCACACAUUAUCAAGUAACAUAUGACUUGCAUUAUAAUUAUAACUUUAAAUGAACAAAUUUUUUUUUUUUUUUUUUACUUUGCCACAAACUUGAAUGCAAAAUAUGAACAGAGCACUUGCAAAGAAAAAAGAAGGGGUGGCCAGGACAUGCACUCAAAAAAGAGACUGCAGGUAAUAAAAGUUGAAGUAGAAAAUAAAUUUCCUUCAAAUUUCUGCUUGAACACCUCUUGGAAUAAAGAAAAUGGUAUCUAGCUGACUUAGAAACUAAUUGAAAGCACUAAAAUGUUGUUGUUAUUGUUUUUAUUGUUAUCAUCAUCAUCAUCAUCAUCGUUAAUUGGGAACACUGAUGGUUUUUAGUUGCUUUGGCUUUGCAUGUCUUUUGCUUUAGUAGGUGAAAGGCAGAAUAGAUCCCUUAGGAUAGAUUGCAUUUACUCUGCUACUUCAGAGCAACUAAAGCAUUCUGAAUCCAAUGGAAAAUGGCAAAGUGAGCAUGGGAAGAGACUCCUGAAAGCAGAUGAAGCUGGUAGAUGAAGCUGGUAAUUGAAUUGCAUGUAAAACAAUGGGUGUUUUCACUGACACAGUACUUGUAUCCACAGUGCAAGGGCUACUGAGCCUUAAGGCAGAAUGUUAGACCUCUCUAGAGGUUCUACCCAUGGCUCUGAUUCCUGGGAGGGCUGGCCCAGAGAGGAACAUGAGUGGGGUUCAUGUUCCAGCCAUUUUCUUUCCCUGCUUUCCUUAUUACAGGUCACUGGUUUGCACCUCAGCCUACUAUAGAAUCAUACGGAUGUAAAAUACUUUAAUGGAUCAAAAUAACACAAUUAACCCUUGCCCUGGAAUUUUUCAAUGCAAAUGACCUUAAUUUUAUUCUAUUAACCUUUAUUGGUGAUAUAAGGGGGCUGCAUUUGCUUUGUUUUUAUUUUAACAUACUUUAAAAUUAUUUAAAACCAUUGAUAAAAACAUUGAAAAGCUUUGAAUUAUGGGAAUCCCCUAAAAUGCCAUCAAGCCAAUUGUGAUUCCCCACUGAUUGAUUUAAAAAAAAAAAGCACUCAUCUCAUUCUUAAUGCUUUUAACAUGUACUUUAUUGUCAUCAGGUGGCAUUAUUUUUAACCACAGUGUUGUACUGUACAUCACAUCUGCAGAACUAUAGCAAUCUAUGUUGAGAAUGAAAUCAGGUUUGUCUGACACAUCCUGUUUUCUGUUAAACACACUGAAUAACAGGAAUUCUCUUUCCUUUGUUUAUUUCCCUCUGAGUUGACUCCUGAAGCAGGUGAAUCAUUCUUUCACCCAAAACCGAGGUCAGCCUCACUGACCUGGUGUUGCCUGUGUCAUCCUGCCUGCCCUUUUUAAACAUAGUGCUCUUGUAUUUCAUGGGACUCCUCCUGGGCUUCCAAGAGACAUCAAAAAUGUGCGAGAUUUUCUUCAGACAGGUCUUUUGUUUGGGACAAAAUCUACGGCCUGCCAGGUUUAAAGUACUUAUCAGUAAUUGAUAAGUACUUUACCCUCCUUUACAGUUACUAUCAGACUGGGAAGUACUUUGCCAUCCUCAAGUGAGAAAAGUAUUUUAGCCUUUUUUAUUCCAGUAUUUACUAAGUGUUUACCUCUUCUCCAUCACUGACCAUGUUAUCUUCUUUUAAAAAGUCAACCAUUGGAAGCUUUCUCAGUUUCUGAAAUACUUCAGAUAUUUUUUUUUCCAUGUUAGGCAUAUUUCCUCAGGUAAAGAAAUGACUCUGAUGCUCUUAGCUUCCCUUUUUCUCUGGUUUUCAUUUUUUAAAAUAUAUUUCUUUAUGUCUUGAUUGCUAUCUAAUCUCUGCUUCCUCUAUUUCAUUCCCUUGGAAAUUGCAUUAUAAAUGUCCAAAAGAACCUACAUAUAUAUAUAUAUAUAUUUGAGUAAGGUGUCCUUGCGCCAUUUGAAUGUUGUUGAAUGUUGCCUUGAAACACUGCAAGUCUUCACAUUUUGCUGAAGGCAUGUAAAAAUUGGAAAGCUUUUGAUCCACAGCAGUUACUCUGGGCCAUUGAGGGAUGGAGAAUAAGGCUCCCAUGUUGAAUGUGAGUGGAAGGCAUGAAGGAUAUGAGAAGGGAAGGUUAACACUCUAGCUUGCCUGUAAGAGAGCCAUAAUUGCUCCAGAAAAGCCAGGGAAUCUCAGAAAAAUUGGAAGCUGGACAGGACAAACGCAGGUCUGAACCAAUGUGAUUAAUCAAACCUUCUCCCUUUAUUCGAGAUAAGAUUGUAGUUUAUAUAAGCUUCUACAUAGUUUACAAAAACAAAGGCACUCUGAUUGGCACACUAACAUUGUUUACCUUUUCCUUAAGGUGGUCAAACUUUUCACACUGCAGCUCUACUCUAAUUUACGCUCGAAUAGCUGAUUACUUUGUAGUUACCUUAACAUAAUUUCUGACUGCGCCACAACUGAAUUCUCACUGCAUCAAAGGCUUCAAGGCCCCAUCAAGGCCGCUUAUCAGGGCCUAGUCUGACUGGGUAGCCCAAGUCUCACUCCAGACAUAAAUCAUGCUCUCUUCUCACUCAAAAAUUCUGUAACAAUGCCCUCUUUUUUAUUUUUGAGCUACCCAGGCUGACUUGAAGGCCCGGUGCACUAUCUUUUGCAUACACUAUAAUAAACACAGCAUCGAGACUAAACAAA